UAUUAUCAUUUAUAUAUAUAACACCAUGUAAAAUUGAAAAUACAACAUGUAUAAUGCCCCAUAAAAAUGUAUUUACCUCACUAGAAUCAUCACUGUUAUUCACCCUAUGGCACUGUAAAAUCUUUAUCUUAUAUUGGAGGUCAUUCAAUGAUUUCACUGUUAAACAUAAAUUCACAUUUAAAAUAGUUUUAUUUUCAUAUAGAUGUCAAAAGAGUGCUUAAAAUAUUUUCGCAUUGAUUUUCACAAAUUACAUUUGCAAUUCAUUCCAUUAAGUGCUUCAGAUUUGUAGAUAAUUUAUUUUACAUGUAAUUUAUAGAAGUUGUCAUUUUCCAGGUGGAUUUUUAUUAAAUUUUCUAUUGACUUGAAGAGAAAAAUAAGGUAUUGUAAGGGAGAUAACUCCUACAUCCUUAUAAGUUAUUGAGAGUCUCCUUCAAAGUUCUUGGGUAGCUUAAAGGUCAAUCGAAAGUCAUUUGAAGGACCUUAUGUGUUUUUAAAAGUUGUCUUUUUUAUACUUUGUAUCAAGAUUUUACAUCUAUAUGGGAAGUUAAAACAUUGUACAGUCAGGACCUUAUUUGGAGCACAAGUUAAAUGUGAGUGUUUUUGAAAUUUAUUUAAAACAAUUUUGAAAUGAUUUUUUAAGAUUUUAAAAUUAUGCUGUUUGGUUGCUCAUGGUUAACAGCAAUAUUGACUGAUUUGUUGGAAUGUGAACCUGUUUAUGGAGAGGUUGAUAUCAACGUUUACACCCUGUAGAUUUUUGAAAACUUAUGAACAGGGUCAUGGACCAUUCAGGUUUGUUUUUUCUUGAGUCGUUCUGGUCCAUCUGUUCUUAUAUACAAUUAAACUAUCAUUAUUAACAAAGAUAUCUUGGAUAUAUCUUUCUGAACUUAAAAUAAACUUGAGGCCCAUUUGAGGAUUGUUUCUAUGUAUUUUAUCUUGUAUACAUGGAGACAUAAAACCUUGUUUCAAAGUUGUUCUUUUUCACAACAAUUUAUACAUAAGAAAAUUUGCCAAUAAUUAGACUCAUCUGGUGUUGAGUGAAUGAAGCAAAUGUUAUUCCCUUUAUCAAAAUGUUUAAUCUGUUUUAUCUAGUCAUUUUGGCAAAAAUGUUAUGUGAUUUUUCCUAUACAUCUCCGUACAUUCACUGUUAGUUCACCUGCAGUGUUAAAUACCCUGGUGGACUGAUGUUAUGGUGUUUCGUCUGUUGUUAGACGUCGCUGUCUGACAGUAUUUGCAUUAUAUGACAUCCCUUCCAAAACCAUUGAGCAGGUUUCAAUCAAGUUCUGGCAGUAGCAUUCUUAAUGGCUAACAUUUUUAGAACUUAGUCGGAGUCUUCCGAACUUACUUUAUUAGACAGGUUUCCACCAAAAUGAAAUGUGAGCUUCCAAAAAAGCAUGGUGAGCAAUUCAAGACCAUUGUUGCCUCUUGUUAACAAAGGAUAAUGAGUUACAAAGUAAGAUGAUGACACUUGAAAUAGGAUCAGGGUAUGAUAUAACACAAUACUUGAUCAGGACAGGCUUAGAAUGAUAAUUAUGACACAAUAUUUGAUGUAUUAGGAGGACCGGCUUUUGCAGUUUUGGAAGUAUUUUAUGAUAAUUCACACAUCAGCGCACAUGUCUGAGAAGGUAUUCAGUAUUUAAACACAUGUGUUUGAAUCAUAUAUUUAUACCGUAUUGUUCACUUAGAUGUGUUGGUACAACAGUGAACCUGGACUGUUAACUAUCUUGUGAUGAUACCCCUAAUGUAUCUGUGAUUUGCAUGAUGGUCCCACAAUUGUGAUUUAACAUUAACUAUUUAUUAUAGAUUUUUUCUCAAUAUUUAAGAAGCUGUUAUAAAAAUAUUUACUCUUUGUUAUUUUAUCUUUAUAUUUGUGCAACAUCAGCAGACAUUGCCCUGUUGGCUUGUUUUUUGUCUUUAGACAUCAAAGACAAAGUAUUGUGGAAUGUAUGACUGAGGAGGGUGAGUUUUUUCAAAGUAAUUUCUAUAAUAAAACUGCACAAUUGGCCUUUGUACAUGUAUUCCUGCAUUUAUGGGGAUAUUAAUGAGGUAAUAACAUUUCAUCAACACUUGAAUUUGCAAUGCAAAAACUUCAUUGACUUUUGUGAAGUGGGGUUGGGGUUAGGAGUUUUGUAAUUUUUUCUAAUACUUUUACUUUUACUACAGGUGCAGGUGGUUUUGUAAGACCUGUUCUAUGUUUAUUACAAAUUGUACAUCUAGACACCAUCUCAUUCCCUGGCUUCAGGAGAUAAACCAAGAUGACAUUCAAGUCCCAUUCAUUUGUAUUUUUGAGGACACUUUAAUUUCCCAGGAUGCUUUGGGAUUUUUUAUAAUACUUUCCCAUAAUGCUUUGGGGUUUUUGAUGACAUUUUCCCAUAAUGCCUUGGGUUUUUAAAAAAAUAUCAAUUGAUAUCACAUCAGUGGCGGAUCCAGCAACCUAUCUGGAGGGGUUUCCAAAUGUCCAGGGGGGGCCCUCGGGAUCCACCACUGAAGUUAUAUACAUCUCUGAUUUAAACUUAUCCAUUGUGUAAAAACACAAAACAAAUAUUGAUUGGAGAUUUGAUUCUGAGAGGAUAGUUUGUGUAGGACAUUACAGCCUACACUGUAAUGAGGUCGGUAAUGUUAACAGGUGGUCGGUAAUGUUAAAAGGAGGUCGGUAAUGUUAACAGGAGGUCGGUAAUGUUAACAGGUGGUCGGUAAUGUUAACAGGAGGUCGGUAAUGUUAACAGAUGGUCGGUAAUGUUAACAGGUGGUCGGUAAUGUUAACAGGUGGGCGGUGUGGUCGGUAAUGUUAACAGGAGGUCGGUAAUGUUAACAGGUGGUCGGUGUGGUCGGUAAUGUUAACAGGUGGUCGGUAAUGUUAACAGGUGGGCGGUGUGGUCGGUAAUGUUAACAGGAGGUCGGUAAUGUUAACAGGUGGUCGGUAAUGUUAACAGGUGGUCGGUAAUGUUAACAGGUGGGCGGUGUGGUCGGUAAUGUUAACAGGUGGUCGGUAAUGUUAACAGGUGGUCGGUAAUGUUAACAGGUGGUCGGUGUGGUCGGUAAUGUUAACAGGAGGUCGGUAAUGUUAACAGGUGGUCGGUAAUGUUAACAGGAGGUCGGUAAUGUUAACAUGUUUAAAUGAUUCUACUGUGGAAGUGUUAAUAUUUGUAUUGGAUUAAAAAGGACUUUGUUGAAGUUCACUUGGUCUUUAUAAAUGUCUUUGAUUCUCAAUCAAAAUGGUAUUGUAUCAGUGAUAAUAGAAACUGCCCUGGGUUAGUAAGAGUUCAGAGUAAAUGUUUAUUGAUAAUUUUAACAUUAAAUGCAGUGUAUUUGUUAGUCUUUUAGUUUAGGUUUAUGUCCUGUAAACAGCUAAGGUCAUUUAACCCUUUCAACACUGUAGACCAUAAUAGACUUAUCCAUAUCAAUGCAUGGUAGUGUCAACUUAAGUUUCAUAGGGGUGAAAGACUUAAGAAUGUGGUACUUAUCAGUCUGUACAUGAAAGUGUUAUAAUCUGACAAAUACAGUUGAAAAGUAUAUUCAAACUUCAUUUCUGUUUCAAAAUGCAUUUCAAUCAAAAUUGUUUCAAAAUGAUUUGCAUAGUUAAUGCAGAUAUGAGACUGAGCUAAGUGGCAAAACAUCUUGUGAAAUUAACUCAUUCACCCCUGGAGACACAUUUGAACUCUUCAAAUUCAAAGGUUGGAAUAGUUCAUUAUGAAAUUUCAGGGGUGAAGUAUUUGUAUAAUUCCUUUUUGUGAUGUUGAUUUUUCAGUGAUUUAUUGUAAAAAGAGACAAACAUUUUCUUUUAAAACAAGAUCAGUCACAAUAAUUUAUUGAAUCAACCAGUAUCAUUGAUUUUUAAGGAUUUAUACAUUUGACAUAGUACGCGAAAGUACGUUAUACUAUUAAGUAGAGAAGAAGAUACAUCUAUACAAGCCCCGGCUUACCUUUGAUGUCAACUGAGCGAAACUGAGCGAAGACAUGUUUUUUAUGAUAAAAGCCUUUAUGAUAUUAAGCAUUGUAGCAAAUAUGUAAAAUUCUAAUGUAUGUAGUCUGUCUUUUGUUGUAGAUUUAGGAAUAAACUCUUUUGCUCUUUAUAAUUUCUUUUAAUAUAAUAAGGUGUAGACAGUGUUUCAGGAGUUAAGAAAUGGCACAGGGGCUAGACAUAUUGCUAUUGACCUUCUGAUUGUAGAAUAGUAAUGUUGCCGGCCCCUGCGAUUAAGAAGCUUAUAUGAGCUUUGUUGUUUUGUAUGAUCCUGAAAGGUUAUGAAAAUAUAAAAUCUAAAUUUAAUCAUUUCAUCAUCAGUCUAAAAUUCCUUCAUCUCGAAUGAUUUCUUCUUCUAAGAGAUAAAGAGAUAUUGAAAAAUCAUAGUUUCUUUUUGAUUUCUUUUGCAGUUUUCAAGUAGGUAUGAAAUUUUUACAAGUGCCGUUAAUUUGUCAUUUAAUCGGAUUUGAUAAAAAAAUAAAAUGUGUAAUGUA